AUUAAAAUAGGCGGUGUGCAGGACUGCCAUAUUGUAGGUUCCUCGUUAUAGAAAAAGCAAGGUGUUGGAUGUUAAAAUACAUCAAUUGUUGUAUGAAGUGCCAAAAAGGAGAGUGGGCUCAUUAUGUACUUUGACAAAUACGCAGUCUACUUCAAGCGUAUAGAAUCUGCUUCCAACAAAAUAUUCAUAUACCAGCAUCCAAAAGAUCGUAAUAUAUUAAGAUUUCCGAUUGAUGCUUUGUAACUAAAAGGUUGUGACUGAGUAUAGAAUAAGCUGAAGUUAUAAUACACGUUAAUUAAAAAAGGUUACGCAAACUUAUCGCAGACUGUUAGAAGACAGCUUCUACUAUGACCAGGAUUCAAAAAUCUUGACCUACGCGAAGUUGUAAAGGAGACAACUACGUUAUAAAUGUGUUGGAAAUGCCAGGGAUGUAAUUAUUCAAUAAACCUAAUGAUUAAAAAGAUGCUCAAAAUCUCAAAUUCAGAUAAAUUUCUUGCUAGAAAGGCAACAUGGAUUGGAUAUCGAAGAGAUGGAUAUUAUUUUAGAAAAAAAUUCAACCUACAAGUCAAACAGUAAGCAACAAACACAUAAUUUAAAAAAAGAUUGCUUGAAUUUCGAGAUUAAAUACAAUCAUACAUUAUUGAGAAAAUAAUAUCUUUAAACGCACCAAAACUGGUACAAAUCUCCAAGGGAAUUAUUUAUUUGAGUUCGAUUUUUACUAACUGUUAUCAGUCUCAUCCAAAACCCCUUGUUUCAAAAUAUGAGCACAGAUUAUUAUACUGAAUAAGAUUUGCAAUAACACCAUAGAAAUACACAAAAUAUUGCGAUGAUUUACAGAAGUGCAAAAAACCGAUGGUACGAAUAGAAUAGAGACCACCGGUGCGCAAAGGCGACCGAUCAUUAUUUUACUCACAUGGAAACAAACGACCGGUGCGAAAAUGGGUGGAUAACGAAAUUAAAAAUCGUUAACGACGUGCUGUUGCGUGUGUAGUAUGAAGCCCACGAGUGGGCUUGGUCUAAAUCUUAUGGGCGCGGUCUGGCGCGAUCUAAUGCUGCGCGUUUCGAACGCAGCUUGUUGAGAAUCUAAGAUAAGCGCGACAAUAUAUAAUUUGAUUUUUAAAGCAAAACAUUAGGGCACAUAUUUGCAGCUAGAGUUGAAUCUCAGAAAGCAUCAGGAUAUUUAGAUUCCACUAUUAUUAAAAAAAAUAAAUAUAACUUAGUGACUGGCCUAAUAUGUUACAAGAGGUGUUAACCUAAGAAAUUCAAAUGUUAAAAUCUUCUGCUGCGCAGCUUACUUGUUAAAACAUUAUUUUCAACCAAAAUUACAUGUUUUGAAUCGGUGGCUUGCUACUGUUAUCUGAUCAAUAGAUGAAAUCUCAGAAAAAAAAUCGUACUCACAAAGCGGGUGUGAAAACUUGGUAUUGGUCAUGAACUUCACAAGCAUGCUACGGUUUGAUACGAAUCAUGCGUCGCUAUUGAACGCGAAGUAAGCAAACAAAGAUCACAUAGGCAAAGCACAUUUUCGCGAUUUAGAAACCAUGGGCAACCGUCAUGAUUUGCUUUAUUACUUGACCUUCAAUCAAUCUGACCAUCGACUGUUUGACCAUCGUUGAAGGAGACUGCAGUGGCAGUACCUUUUUGAUUUAUUGAAUUGAAAUGGACUUAUUCAAAGAUGAAGGACGAAUUUGGAUGGCUCCAGUGCUUGAAAAAUGGUUUUUCCUGAGUUAUGCAUUUCAUCAGCAGGAGAGGAUAAUCCAACUUACGAAGAGUCUUUUACACAGAUCCAGCUGGUACCGCUGACUCGGAAUCUCAUAACAGGCUAUCGUUGAUGUUCUGAACGCAUUCCUUGGAUAGUAUAAGAGGAAAGAGCAAUGCGUUCCUCCGAUAACAUACGCUCUCUGGAAUUUCAAUGAUGGUUGAGAAGCCUUGCAUACUCAUCACCUGCAUUGAAGCCGCGUUUUUCAAAUGAUUCUUUUUUGCCAUGUAAAUAAAAGAGGACUUUUACCACAUUCAAAUUCAAUAAAUUUCGCUCGACUUUUGAACCGACUUCAUCGUACACCAAUUAAGCAACAUUUAACCGAUUUCUUCCACUGAUGCCAAUUUUUGUGAUUGACUUUAUAACAAACAGGCGUCCUUCAAGGCCUGGCCCCGGUAAGAAUUUUUUUAACAAUAUUUGAAGUGGAAGAUGAUAUUUUACCAUCUACUGGGCGCCCAUUUAAAAAACUGCACUUCCGGUGAGAACUGGUGUUUGACUGCUUCUGCCUAGCUAAUUAGUUACUGUAUCUAAAUACCUAUUCUGAGGAUACGCCGAUGCAGAAGGUGUCUCGUAUCAUAAAAUGACCUUUGGCGUCGACUUAGUUUUGCUAGAGCCCAGGCUAGAGUCCGCUUUAGCGAGUACCCAAGAAAACGUAGUCCACUCAAAUAAAA